rnacentral:rRNA from 1 species
GCUGGAAUCGCUAGUAAUCGCGAAUCAGAAUGUCGCGGUGAAUACGUUCCCGGGUCUUGUACACACCGCCCGUCACACCAUGGGAGUCGGAAAUGCCCGAAGUCAGUGACCUAACCGAAAGGGAGGAGCUGCCGAAGGUGGAGCCGGUAACUGGGGUGAAGUCGUAACAAGGUACC